CCUACGGGGGGCAGCAGUGAGGAAUAUUGGUCAAUGGGCGCGAGCCUGAACCAGCCAAGUCGCGUGAGGGAAGACGGUCCUAUGGAUUGUAAACCUCUUUUGUCGGGGAGCAAAAGACGCCACGCGUGGCGUUCCGAGAGUACCCGACGAACAAGCAUCGGCUAACUCCGUGCCAGCAGCCGCGGUAAUACGGAGGAUGCGAGCGUUAUCCGGAUUUAUUGGGUUUAAAGGGUGCGCAGGCGGAAGAUCAAGUCAGCGGUAAAAUUGAGAGGCUCAACCUCUUCGAGCCGUUGAAACUGGUGUUCUUGAGUGAGUGAGAAGUAUGCGGAAUGCGUGGUGUAGCGGUGAAAUGCAUAGAUAUCACGCAGAACUCCGAUUGCGAAGGCAGCAUACCGGCGCUCAACUGACGCUCAUGCACGAAAGUGUGGGUAUCGAACAGGAUUAGAUACCCUGGUAGUC
rnacentral:rRNA from 1 species